CUCCAACAAACAGGCCCCAAGAACCGGAAGACAAAGGGCAACAAAGGGCAACAAAGCUGGUGAGAGGUCUGGAGCACAGGCCUUAUGAAGAGCGGCUGAAGGAGCUGGGAUUGUUCAGUCUAGAGAAGAGGAGGCUCAGGGGAGACCUUAUUGCUCUCUAUAACUACCUGAAGGGAGGUUGUAGUGAGCUGGGGGUUGGCCUCUUCUCUCGUGUGACUAGUGAUAGGACUAGAGGGAAUGGCUUCAAGCUGCACCAGGGAAGAUUCAGGCUGGACAUUAGGAAAUACUGCUUCUCUGAAAGGGUGGUCAGGCACUGGAAUGGGCUGCCCAGAGAGGUGGUGGAGUCACCGAGCCUGGUGGUGUUCAAAGAGCGUUUGGAUGUUGUGUUGAGGGACAUGGUUUAGUGAGAACCAUUGGUGAAGGGCGAAUGGUUGGACUGGAUGAUCCUGUGGGUCUUCUCCAACCUUAGCGAUUCUAUGAUUCUAAGAUGAGUCUAAUUCACCAACACGUCCACGUGAAGGCCAAAAAGUGAAGACAGGUGACUGCGGGACAGUCUUCAUUCUCUCUUCACUUGAAGAAAAAGCCAAGCUAACACUCAACUACCAAGCAGCAUCCUAGCAGCAAGCUGACCAACAGCUACAACAUCAGAGGGCCCCAGCCCUCCUGGAGACAUGCAGCCAGAUGCCACAUUCUGUUACACUCCAUCCAUACGCAAGCGGUUCCACUCAAACCACAGCAGUAAUGACAGAGGUGGGCUCCAGACCGCUUACCCACCGCUGGCUGUGGUGAAGCACCUCGCUGCAACACAGGCAUGAAGCAUGACAAGCUGGUGCUGCAGCUCGGGCUGCACAGCACUGCUGGUUUCACAGAGGCACGCCGGCUAGGGCAAGAGCUGCACAAACAGCACCAAGUGCUGCAGCCAGCCCGCUGACAGCUCAGACAAACAGACUGCACAGUGCUGCUGCUAACGUAGCAGAAGCAUGUCUUAGUUUGCAUUUCUUCCAUUCCUUUCAAGCAGCAUGACGUCCAACAAGUUCAAGUCCUUAGGUAGCCGAUGUCUUUCUCGGUUGCUAUUUAAUGCCUUUCAGAUGCUUGCUAGGUACCUCCUGUUCCAUCCUACUUAGGGCCCAUUCUGGCUGCAUUCUGAACAGAUGUCAACAUUUGGAUAGUAAUGUCAUACAACAAAUGUCACUCAGGAAGUUUAUUAUCACAACUUUAUUUCACUCAGUCAGUGCACACUAUUUCUCCUGAAUUUGCCUUAGAGCUGCAAUCAAAAUAAGCUCGUGGUGACCAACAAAUCCCAGGCUGUCCCCAUGUCAGUUUGUGGCAGUCUCAUAGAGGAAGACCACGCACCAUGGCUGAGUUAUUCCCCCAGCUCGUACAAACAUAGAACAAAACACAGAUUCUGAUUCUUUCUCCAGUCCUGCCAGGGUCGUAAGAGUCACCUAUAUUUUAAGUCAAUCCAUAACAUAGUCGUGCAGUGCCCUGAAAAAAGACACAGUGCAGUUUUAAACUACAGGUUAGUGACCCGUGACAUCCACCAUUCCUCCUCCUUCCCCCUCAGCACAGACCUCAAAGCACAUUAGACAGACUAUACUGCAGUGUCAGCUAUCACCCUACACCUUAAUCGACUGUCAAGUUCAAAAAGUAAAUAGGACUGUAUGAUCAACAACAAAAACAUCAGGCCAAAUCGCAGGGAACAUCCAAGAAGAUUUACUAAGACUGACAGUAGGAAACUUGAAACUCAUCCCUGAUUCUAAGAGGAGGCAGAGGAGACCUAAGGGAAAAGUUAAAGCAUCUUCUCAGUUCUGCAAACCAGAAGAUGCAAAGGAAAAGUGCCUGCCCACUUAUUUGUCUUUGGCCUUUCCACCAGCCCUGGAGAAGUAACGCUCACAGAGGAGCCCUGGUAAUACAGCCGGAGCAGCUGGUGAGGAUGCAGGCAGGCAGAACACAAAGGAGAGAAACACAAAGUCCAGGAUGGAUUAAUCCCUCAUCUGUAAUAAAGCAAGAGGGGGUGGCACCGUCUGACUUCCUUUUUGUUUUUGACACCAGCAAACAAUUGCAGUUCUGAGCAAACUCCACACCUAUUAAUGACAUGGUUUGGGAGUUUGUUCGUUAAAACUGGAUGCUCAAACCUUAAGACAUUAGUAUGAAAUUAAAGUCUUGUGGUAAGAGAUGGUGUUCAUGAUAUCCAUACUGUAGUGCUUUAGUAUUGGUAGAACAAUGACUACUGGUACAUCUGCAGCAAAAUAUUUUACUUCGCAGUUCAACUUUAAUCAAAAGGAAAUUUGCAUCCCUUGCUGAGGGAAGAAAAUACCAGUGAUCAAAUCUGUGGUACUUAGGCGCAGCCUGAAGUGAUAGGCAAUGCUGCCCAAGCAGAGGCUCGGUCUUUAAGGCAGCGCUGCUAAGCCUGAAGAGGAAAGCGAUCAGAGAGCAGAUUGGACCAUGCAAAGGUGGAUGACCACAGCUACAACCUUUCGCCUCUGAGCAGGCAGGGGGAGAUCAGUCCAAAUCACCAUCUCCUAACUCUUGCCCACCUCUUUAGAAAGAAUCUGACACGAGGGUGCAGUAUGCAGCUCCCUCCUCAACAGCUACAGUGGCUUUUAGAAGAAUCUGUCAAGCCGGGACGUCCUGCUCAUGGUCACACUUCUUUCCUGACUCUCAUGAAGGAUUCCUGUUUGCAGUGAUGCCCAUACCUGCGAUCCUUUGAGUCAUUAGAGGAAAUUAAACUGGAUUAAAAAAUUCUAAGGGAAAAAAAAAAGUGCAAUGAAAACUAUUUGGUUUUACUUGUCUACAUUACUGUUCCAUUCUUUACUUGUUAAAAUUACAUUCCACCUGAUGUUUGUGCCUUUGGCUUUAAAACAUGAUAUAUUCCGUAGGAAAAAAAUGUACCGCAGAGUAAAAUGGAACUUAUUUUUGUCUUAAAAAUGAGGAAAAAAAUCACCCAAGUGGCAGCAAAUAUACGAACAGAUAGAAUGUAAUUGUGUUAGCAUUUGAAUUCUGCACUUCAAGCUGCCUUUGAUCAACCCGAUUAACAUUCCUUUCUAAAAAUCUUAUAGCUGAUGCACUUCAUGAACACAGCUAAAGUAGAUUAAUCUGCUCUAAAUUGUACAUUUCCUAAGAUUACUGUUCCUCUGAUUAAUUUUACAAAAAACACGUGCGACUAUGUACAAAUGCAUUUUUGUCAGUGAUAAAAUAAACCCCUGAGAGAGCUACCAGUAACUGGCCAAGAGAUACCGCUGCAAACGUCUAAUAAAUCAGCGCGCCGUAUGAUGCAAUGCUAUGUGAUCUCAUACACCAAAUACUACACUUCUUGUUCAAGCACAAGAAAAAAGAGCCGUUGUCAGCUUAUACCACCUGACUGGUUAAAAUCCAAUUCUUCUGGUAUCACUACCUACACGGCAACGCUGCCAGAUAGUCAAAGUGACUGCAGUUGGUCCACAAACCUUCCUCUACUGAAGUCAGUGAUAAAACGUUAAACACAUUCAAUGGCACGGUUUGACACAGUUGAAUUUCAGAGACGAUGGGUCUGAAAGGGACCCAUCUGAGCGGCGAUCUGAGGGGGAGGCUCACCUUGACCUCCCCAGGACAGCCGUGAGCAGACUGAUGUCCCUUCACCCCACAAAUCCCCGUGCCUGGUGCUGUAGCUAAGCGCUGCUGAACUCAGGUACCCUCUGGAAGCACUGCAAGGCAGUAAUUAGCGUGAGGCUUGUAAUGCAUUCCCCAGCCAGAAACACGGGUUGCUGUGGCCACUGGAGUCAGAGAGUGUGAAAAGGGGGUGGGGGGGGACGGGGGGGUAAAGAAAAACAGGUAACAGCAGAGAAAGCACCGUGAUAUUUUAUUUAAGUAUCAAACAUUAAGAAAAUUACCAUUAUCAACUGAACUGUCCAAUGAGUAUUACAGGAAAACGGUGAUAUAAAGAAAAAUACAUUUCCAUUCGAAUAUAUUAUUGCAGUGGAGAGGAUUAACGAUGCACAGGAGACACCUCUGACACAAACGUGCAUUUCCUAAAUCGCGCUAAGGCUUUGUUUUGAUUUUUUUGGAGAAAUGAUGCCUUUAACAUCCUGCCUGCAGACGAUACGAUUUUAAAACGCAACCGCAACAGCCAUCUAAACCCUUCCUUUAUUUUCUGGGAAGCGCUGUGCUCCGCUCCCAUUAAGCCUACCGGUAACUGCGAGCUGUUAACAUGCCUUCGUGUGGUUUCGGCAUUCCUACGGCAAGGCUAAGCAGCAGUCAGAAAACAAUGAUAUCCCCAGGCCCGCACUGUAGUUUCUCAAGCAGAGAUUAAGCACGGUAUUCUGCUCAACAAGCUCAUCACUGUUAAGUAACUCAUCAGAAAAUAAAGAGGGAAUUAUCAAAUGGGAAUUGCCAAGUAAUUAGUUCUCUGAAGCAGAUGACAUACAACUGUUAAAGGGAGGGGCUUCCCUGUUAGUCAUAUGUCAGAGUAGAGCCCACUAAUCUGUAAAUAAAAAUGCAUUUCACAUGAUUAGCGCAAUGGGUUUUUAACCACUAGCGGUACACGAAGAAUUAAUUUGCAACUUUUUGUGCUGUAAUAAAGCCGGCAAGAUUUUCUCCCUUUGCAUACAAUGCAUUUCCCAACGCUGCGGCUCGCCCGCUGUCACACUGCCUGGAGACAGACGGCCAUGAAGCCAGGCUGCUACCAGGGAGGGGACGUGCUGAAGGGCUAAGGAAGAGGCUAAGUGCAUUUACUAUCAUAGUAACCGGAAAAGGCACUCCCUGCUCAGCUGCUCCACGUGAUGCUGACAAGGACGGCACCAAUGAGCAACCGUUCCCUGGCACACCAAUUCUGAGCACGGCGCAGGAGGAUUAAGCCUGCUUUCUGCACUUAGCCUACCCCGCUAAAGCCUGACUUUCUUCAAGCAGCUCGUAUCACAGAAAUGUUCAGUUUGCAAAACCUGAAGGGCCUUGGUGCAUGGGUACCUGACAAACAAAGAUGUGGUAAUGCUCGCGACCACAUUCCAACACAAACGAGAAACACUUAAACUCUUCUGCCUUUUACAGACUGAAGAGUGAGUCAGUAAACCCUUAAAUCAGGUUUUCGGCUAGUCCCAAACAGAACCAGCACUGCUAACUCACCAACAACUAAAGAAGCGACUACCAAACAUACCAAGGGUAAGAGAAGGAGGGCACGUAUGAUGCUGAGGCCUAUAUAGAACUACAGAUCAGGGAUGGCAAUCACAGCAUUCUGACCCUCAGCACGUGCUCUGCUUCUAAUGUUUGCUCCAUCAGCCAAAAUAUCACGCUCUAAAGUAACGCUAGCACAGGACAGAUCUCCACAGCAUAUCAUGGAAGGUGAAUCAAACCUCAGGCAGUGGCUUCUACCACAUUACCGAUGAGAGCCCAGUGCUUCCAUCUAGACAAGUCACUACAGCCAGCUCCGUUUAUACUUCAGACGGUGUUACAAAACCUCCAGUCAAUGUGACAUCGGGCUACAGCAGCAUCUGCUGAGGAAACAGCAGAGCAAAGCCACGGCAGGGCACCACAGGGGUGACGGGGUAGGGCUGGGGAAGUGACCAGGCCUCAUCUCCAACAUCUGACACUGCAUUCACAUCUUUUCAUUUAAUUUAUCAAAGAGUUACUCACUCAGGCACAAAACAAACAAUUAAAAAAAAUUAAAAUGAUUUCUAAUUACUCUCCAAUUAUACCUAGUUCGCACCUCCAUUUCAUUUGUGCUGCUAAUGCUCUCACAGUCUCCACCGCUGCCUUCUUUUAGCCCUACAGCCAUUGCAGGCCUUGAUAAACAGUGUAAGAGGGAGGAAAUAAAAUCAGCUGUGAUAAAGGAACACCGAUAUGGCAAUCAAAAAAUUGCCUUUGGACACACUGAUAUUGAGACAGAUCACCUCUUUCUACAUGCAGUACAUAAUAUUUUAAGAGAACAGCCUGUUGCUCAUUUACAGACAGCGGCAGCCAGAAGCCUGUAGAAAGCACAGCUUAGGCCUGUGAAAAAUAAACCCUACCAGGUAGUGUGCAGAUAUACCGAUGGAAAAUUCAGCAAAAAUAAAAAAAAGAAAUUUACAAACAGGCUGUGGCUGCAAAUUCAACCCGGUACUAUAACGUGAUUAAUAGAUAUCAAGUGACUCAACAGUGGAAAAGAUUGAAAAGAACCCUCUAGUUGUUCAAACAACCAGUGCCUCAUGCAAAACCCUCUCGACACAACUGCUUAAAAGAAAGCAUUGAGUCAUUUGCCUGCGUGGAAGGAGGCAGAGCGAGUUCUGAACAAAUAACAAUAACUCGACGGUUUUUAGCUCGGGCUAAAAUUAACUAAAGUCAGGAAUCAGGGGGUAAAGGAAAAAUAAAAAGCCGUACCUCAACACAUGUAAUUUUAUUUUCACUAAGCCCAGCGUCCUCAUGCAGGCAGCGAGCUCUGCAGGCUGCAGGAAAGCUGCUCGAACCCGAGCGGCAGGCACGCCUCAAGCGUACGCACCGCAGCGGCUUCACUCCCUGCAGCCACACGCCUCCUCGUGUGAGUACAAACGCACGUGGGGGGACACCAGGGCUGAAGCAAAGCUUCUGAGCUCUGAUCGUGGAGGUGCCCCGUGAAAUAAACGUGCCUGAUGUCCCGUCCCUCGGACAGACCCCGUGGCAACAAGCUGGGUCUGUGCAGAACAGAGCAGGGCUGCUGAUACUUCUCCCCCUCCCCCCAGAAAAAAGUGAGGGCUGGAAAAGAUGCUGGGUCUCAGCACGCAGUGCUCGAUCUCGAUUCAUGAAACCUACUUGUGGCUGCUCACUGCGCUGCUCUGGGUCAUGUUUGUUUCACGUGUUACUACUUUUGACUUCCCUCCUGUUAAAUCAGGCGCCAGAGAUAACGCUUGUAAGCAGGCAGUUGCUAUCUCAGUCACUUCUACUUUACUCGUUUAUACAGUAGGACUGAUUUUGAUCGAUCCCUAGAGAAAAUAAGCACUAACUAACAAGGCCAGCAGAGGUACCCACGCUCAGUGACUGAGACAGAACAUCCAAGAGAAAGAAAAGGAGCUGAAAAAGAUCUGAUCUGAAGCCCAGAAGACAAUACAGCAUUUCAAACUGCACUGAUACAGCAAAAAAGCAGCACAGUCCUGCUCUCCUCUCACACUGUAACCGAGACAACUGCAGCAGACUUAACUGGGUUAUUUCUUCUUUAAUCCAGACUGUUUCCAACACGUAACAUACUUUUUCUCAUGCCAUCGCAGGAAGUGCCAGAUGCUAAAAUAUUCGAGGUGACUCCGAGUGGUUAUUCACAGGGUUCAACCAACACGCUUUAAACCAUUUCCCCUAGUUAAGAGACAGAAAGCUGUCCUGCACUAAUUGUCCCCACAAAUAAAUACAGCUUCAUAAAACCUGUGCCGGUUCUGAAAAAAUGAAAGGCUCUGUGGAAACGUCCCUGUCAGAACAGAGAGCUCCCUUCUAUCUGAUCUCCAAAGCCCAUAGCAGCUACCCAGUCAGUUCUGUCCCAAAAGUGAAAGAUGAAAUAUGUCAGUGCACAGCCACUUGGGCUGGCUGUUCACCCAACAUACUCCUAUUGCUCUGAGGGGGCACAGUGGUAUCAGUCCACCCCCGCUAUUCUGGCUCAUUUGUAAACCCUAAGAGGCAUGUCUUUACAUGCAACUGCUUGCACAGACAACUUCCCUUUUCAGCACGGCACCCUACCCCACGGCCAUAAUAAAAUGUAAAUUACGUGCCACACACCUCUCUGACGUGCCCUAUGUAUUAUAAACUUAUUCUGCAGCACAGGCUUUCUGGUCAACCCCUCAUGUGUAGAAUGCUAUAGCAAUGGAGUUUUCUGGCUGUAUAAAGGGGAAAAAAACACCUUCAACUUCUGCAAGCAGCUGCUACAUUUAAUUUUCUUUUAUUUAGGGACAUCAAUUUUGUUAUGACCUUUUAUCUUUUGGUUUGCUUUUUUUUUUGCCAAAAAAAGUAUUAGCAGCAUUGCCAAUCCCAAGCACUCAAAAAUCAUGAAACAGGUCCAAAAAAACAGGCUGGCUUAAUGACAAUCAGAUUAAAGAAAUACAAUAAAAAUGUAUGUUCUUUUUAUUGGCAGUACGAUUGUUGAGCCCUGAGACUUGGUUCUUUCAAGGUAUUCCCCCCAGCCAAACAAGAAGGAGAAGUGAGGAAGAGGAGAAGGAGCUGAGCGUGCUACUCCAUCCUGUCUGGUUCCAGAACUCGGGGGAAAAAAGUCAGAAGAACUGAAAACAUUCCUGAAACUGGAGUAAAAGACACUCGGGCACAUCACUAGUGGCCAGUUACCCUGGGAAGUAUCCUCACGCCAGGCAAAGUUCAGUGCUUGAGAGGAAAUGGGGACACCGAAAACUCAAACGAGCUGCAAGCAACAAGAACUGCUAAAAAUGUUCACAAAAGCACGGGAGGAUUUAUACAAUUAUACCCAUGGUAAUAACCAGCAAAAGAUCAGAGACUGUAAACUUUUCCGUUCGUGCUACAAUCUUUUAGUAACUGCAUAUACUCCGACCUGAGGUGAACAUAAAACCACUCAUCUGGAACCCACUGUCCUGUCAGUCACCCAACUGAGUCACCAGAGCUCGUGGCAUUUCUAUGAUGAGUAUCUCCAGGACCUUUACUGCCAGGCAAGGGAAGUACAGACGUUUUGCAGGUAGAUAACGGCACGGACUCCAUUCAGGUGCCCGUGCUGACCAGACCCCGCGGCAGACAGCACAUGCUUGUUAGACAGAAGAAAAGGGCAUUGCUUUCUUACCUCACUGACAGCGCAUCUCUGUAUGGCGAAGACGACGGCGAAGGUGGUCACUGUCCUGCAGGUGUCAACGAUAAAUUCACAGCUUGUAUUGCUCGCCCGUCUGGCUCGGCCUGCGGCGUGACUGUCGAUCCCAAAGUUGAGGAGGUGGGAACCGAAUGUAAAGUGUCAGUGGAGGUGGGGCUGGCGGGGGGGUCGGACUGAGACUCGCGCACCGCCGUCCUCCCGGGGCGGGGGUCUUCGGGUGUGUGAGUGUGUGUGUGUGUGUGCGUGCGGGCUCCUUCCCCCGCGGGGACACGCUCCGGGCUGCUCCGGCGCUGUAGUAGAAAUGAUGUCUGCGGUACAGCGCUCGCUGCCGCUCCGCUCUCCAGUAUGUAAAUGUGUAAUAGAAGCCAAAUAUGGAGCAGUUGGCUGCCUCUGCAACAGCUCAAGGAUCCUACUUCACGCGAAAGAGGGGGGGGGGGGGAAGGGGGGGGAAGCGGGGAGGAGGAGGAGGAGGAGGCAAGGCAGCACUCUGGCAGGCGGCCAAGAGAGCCACACAGAUUAUUGCAUACGCGCAGCACCGCCGGGGCCGGCGGCCUUAACCCUUUGGGGGCCGCCCGGGGCCGAGCUGCCCUCCUCCCCCCUCUCCC
ensembl:lncRNA